ensembl:misc_RNA Metazoa_SRP Metazoan signal recognition particle RNA
GCUGGAUGUGGUGUGUGCCUGUAGUCCCAGCUACUCGGGAGGCUGAGGCAGGAGGAUCAAUUGAGUUCAGGAGUUCUGGACUGUAGUGUGCUGUGCUGAUUGGGUGUCUGCACUAAGUUUGACAUCAAUAAGGUGACCUCCCAGGAGUGGGGGACCACCAGGUUGCCCAAGGAGGGGUAGAUCAGCCCAGAUCCAAAAUGGAGCAGGUCAGAACUCCCGUGCUGAUCAGUGGGACUGCACCUGUGAAUAGCCACUGCACUCCAGCCUGGGCAGCAUAGUGAGACCUUGUUUCU